GGGUAGAUCUCUCAGAAACCAUCCAACCCCUUGAACCAAAUGUGACAUGUUUUCUUUGUUUGAACUUCAAUUUUUUAAGAGUGUUCUAUAGCAAUAGGGAAGUGUCCACACCAAAUUUGACAAUUUUUUGAGGAAAAUUGAAUUUUAUAUAUAUUUUAUAGCACAAAAGCCAGAAGUAAUGACACUUAAUCAUAGAAAUUAUGGUAUAUAACAUUUGAAUUUAUGGUUCAAAUGUUUAUUGAGGAUAAACAAUAUUAUUAUACACAUAAAAUAAGAAGUGGUGUAUUUAUUUAAAACCGAGGGAAUAUAAUAUGAAUUUAAUAGCUUAUUGGAAAUUCAUCACCAGUGGCGGUUUUUGUCGUGAGAACCGCCACUGAUAGGUGGUACACAAACUUAGGGUCUCCAAUGAUCCUGCGAAUCAUACCAAUGGCAGGUCUAGCUGCAAGCACCGCCACUGGUGCUCAAUAGCGGUGGCGGUUUGCCGUGUACUCACCGCCACUACUGGUUAAAGCGUAUCAGCGGCUUACGAAUUUAUACCAAAAUUCUCUCUCAAACUUCCUAUUAUUGAAAUAAAAAGAAAAAAUAGCAGAAAUAAAAAUGACAGAAAAAGAGGCGAGAAAAGAAAAAUCAUACCAGUGGCUGUUUCAGUUGCCCGCACCGCCACUAGUGCUCAGUACUAGUGGCGGUUCAAUUCAUUUGACCGCCACCAGUGGCGGUUCUUUCGUUUUCACCGCCACUAGUGCUCCUCAGCGCGAGCUUCCGCGAAGCGAGUUGGCAGUUUAGUCCCACCUCGCUUGUUUACAGCCGUUUCGACCAGCAUAAAUAGGAAUCUCCAACUCGGUCAUCACUUCCGAUUCAAUUUCCCGUAGUACUCUACUCUGUUCCUGGCCUAUGGGCCCGGUUGUGCUGUGUUCUUGGCCUGUGGGCCCGGUUGUCGGUCCGACUGCACUUGGUGGGCUCGGUCAAAGCCCUGUGGGCCCGGUCAAACCGGCAUUAGUAGGUAGUAGGC
rnacentral:lncRNA from 1 species